CCUGGGAAGUACGUACGCAAGUAUGAAACUUAAAGGAUUGGCGGGGAGCCCCCCAAGGGGUGAAGCCUGCGGUUCAAUUGGAGUCAACGCCAGAAAUCUUACCCGGAGAGACAGCAGAAUGAAGGUCAAGCUGAAGACUUUACCAGACAAGCUGAGAGGUGGUGCAUGGCCGUCGCCAGCUCGUGCCGUGAGAUGUCCUGUUAAGUCAGGUAACGAGCGAGAUCCCUGCCGCUAGUUGCUAUCAUUAUUCUCAGGAAUAGUGGAGCGAAUUAGCGGGACUGCCGUUGUUAAAACGGAGGAAGGAAGGGGCUACGGCAGGUCAGUAUGCCCCGAAACUCUGGGGCCACACGCGGGCUGCAAUGGUAGUGACAAUGAGUUCCAAACUCGAAAGAGAGUGGCAAUCUCUAAACGCUACCACAGUUAUGACUGAGGGCUGUAACUCGCCCUCACGAAUAUGGAAUCCCUAGUAACCGCGUGUCAUUACCGCGCGGUGAAUACGUCCCUGCUCCUUGCACACACCGCCCGUCGUUUCAUUGAAGUUUGCUUUUAGCGAGGUGAUGUUUAAUUGGCAUUAUCGAACUUGAGGUAAGCGACAAGGGAAAAGUCGUNNCAAGGUA
rnacentral:rRNA from 1 species